UUUUUUCUUGAGCAAUUAUUCUCAGCUAACUUCAGUGCAAAUGGAACAUCAGAUUUUCUUCUCAGAGCUUGCUAGUGAUGUUAAUAUUUCUCACUUUAGAUGGCUUUGGACUUGUAUCCUUGGGCACAACAAUGGUGAGUACACCAUUCUCCACCAGAGCUUUAAUUUGAUCCACCUUUGCAUUUUCUGACAAUUCAAUUUCUCGAGAAAAGCUUCUCCUUCCUGUCCCUCUCUCUGCAAGAUGCCAAACUGUGUCAUUUCCAUGGCCUUCCUCUUUACCCACCUCUGCCCUUACGUGCAAAAUAUUUCCUUCUUCCACCUGAACCUUGAUUUCCUCUUUGUUGUAUCCAGGAACAUUGAGUUUGAAGAUAUGAGCGGAGGAAGUUUCAACCCAGUCCAUGGGAGGUGGAGAUCCAGACCAUUCGCGGAACACCGAAGGGCUCCACAAGAGUCGCCUAAAAGGAUACCGGAACCCAAAGAUAUCAUCAGCCAUUGUUAUCUGCACAAAUGAGCUCCUGUCAAUCACAGUCGGACUGGUUUUUGUUAUUUUAUAGACGAAG
rnacentral:misc_RNA from 1 species